rnacentral:precursor_RNA from 8 species
GAGUCUUUUCAAGCAUGUCAGAACUUCAUGACCUUGGCUCUAGACUGCUUACUGCUUAUGGAGUCCGACAGUACAGUAACAGUCUACAGUCAUGGCUACUGAAGUCUGGCUCCAGCAUCACACACUAAU